rfam:Camelus ferus unplaced genomic scaffold scaffold1144, whole genome shotgun sequence.
GAGGGUGCGGCUCAGUGGUAGAGCACAUGCUUAGCAUGCACAAGGUCCUGGGUUCAAUCCCCAGCACCGCCA